rnacentral:antisense_RNA from 1 species
GCAACGCUCCGCCGUCAUAGGAAGACACACCAGACCACGAGCGUGUUUAACCAUAAAGUUAAUGGCUUCCGGCGUGACAUGCUCGGCCGCCAUAAUCA